UUUAUGUACACAUAUCCAUAAAUAAAUGAAUAAACAACUUCACUCCCUCCUUUCUUUCUGCUGAUCUGUUCAUGAGCUCUUUCUUUUCUCUGUGUCCCAUCCCUCUUUAGUUUGAUAUACAGAAUAUAUACACUCACCUUAUGAAGUGAAUAUCCCUCUGGGACCUAUGUGGGUGUAGACAUAUAUAAGAGGAGUGAUUCCGAUGAUCGGUUGAAUUCAGCUCACCGAUGUCCUCAUUAGUAUCAGAAUCAAAUCUUCAAGUGGUCGAUGAUGCUCUCUCGAAGUCUAUGGAGGAAAAGGGGUGUUUGGAAUGAAGUCUGACCCAAGAUCUACUCCCAUAUUAAGCUAUCUACAUAGCUUGCUUGGUAUUGAUUAUGUGAUCUUAUUAUUUCUUUGAUUUUUUUUUCAUUAUCGUCGUAGUGAUCUUUGCAGUCUUAUUAUGUUCAUCAUCAUUAUCAAAUCAUAAAGAGAGAGAGAGAGAGUGAAGGAAUAGGUUAACGAAUAUGGAAGAGAGAGAGAUAUCAUAUGUGAUGUCUAGGGUAUCUAUGUGACAGAAAUUGAUCAGAAUGAGUACAUCAUCACAUGUUAGAGGUUUUUAUUCCAUACUAUUUUUACCGGUGAUGUUUCGGAAGAGAGCCAAUUACGAUAAUACCAUAUGGAUCUUGGAAUUCUCUGAUUAUCAAGGUUUACGGAUAGCAGUACACGCAAAAUAAUGUCCAUUUAGAAAUUAAAUUGGAGCAGAUUGAGUUGUUCUGUUGAAUUGCAUAUGCAUAUAUGUACAUUUAUAUGGGUGGGGAAACAUCUCAUUGAAAUGGUAUACGACCAAGGGAGGUCGAUCUCGGACCAGGCUUCAUUCCUCACACCCAUCUUUUCCGAGCAAAAGAGCUUCUAGCUGAAGUCGAUGGCACUAGACCCGCGCGGGUCACAUCGAUAUUACAUUCACAGCUUUGCCCUGCCUUGCCCAAGUCUAAGAUGAGCACGGCUCAGGAGAGCCUCGGCGUGAAUGCAAACGUGUCUAAAUUAACAUCAAUAAUAAUCGGAAUUAGCUGGAUGUUAUUGAAAGCGCAAGAAAAAUAUAAUUAAGGUCUAAAUGUAACUAGAUAAAUUGUAGAUGAUGUUAUUAUCAUUUGGUGGGAGUAAACCCUAGAAAUUAAUUACUCAUAACUAGAUUCUCUAAUUCUAGGUCACAAACACCUAGCUAACUCUUAUGUAUUUGGAACAAAGCGAAUAUGAUUUUUCACUUUUGGAUGUCAUCGAAUAUAUAUAUAUAUAUAUGUAUGUAUGUAUUAUAAUGAACCAUAAAGAUAAGUCCAAGUACAUGUGUCUGCUUGUAUGUGUCAUUUAUUUAUCAUACCUAAUUUUAUAUCAAAAUUUCUAACCAAGAGCUAAAAAACCCACGGUCACAUAUAUAUAUGUGUGUGUGUGUGUGUGUGUGUGUGUGUGUGUUAUUUUCUUAUAUUCCCAAGUUUUUUCUUUAUUUCUUUUCCAAUACAGGACUCUUAGCUCUAGCUCUAUAUUCUUUUGGUAGAGAGCAAAACAACAUGAUGUAUAAGCUGCUUUGUGUUUGUUGUUAAUGCUGUGUAAUGUUUUCUUCUUUCGUAAUAGGACACUGUGCAUAGUUAAACAAUAGUUUUUUGUGAUUAGGAGUUAAUCAUCUCAUAGAACUUUCGCACAUAGUAUUAAAUUAGAAGAGGUGUCGAUGAAGAACCCAUUGAAUUCUCUACAGCAUUGCCUGAACACACAAAGAAAAAGGUCGGGAAAGGCCGAUUUCUCUAUGGUAUCAGUUAUAAUUUAUAUGUUAGAUUAUGAAUUUAAGAACAGAACAAUGGCCUCGGGUGUAUGUCGUGAAGGUUUUGCUAGCUCGACAAUUGGUAAUUAUUAAAUCAGAUCAAGCUUUCCCAUAUUCCAUAGAGAAUAAAAAAUUACGUAUCAGUUUUGUUCGAUAAUUUUAUCUUGUAUGGAUCUUGAGACGAGCAUCGCAUGCACAUAUUGCAUCGUUGCAAUGUAGGUAUUAAUUCUAAACAGGAACAACAGUUCUAAUGAAA